rnacentral:rRNA from 1 species
UACGUAGGGCGCAAGCGUUAUCCGGAAUUAUUGGGCGUAAAGAGCUCGUAGGCGGUUUGUCGCGUCUGCCGUGAAAGUCCGGGGCUCAACUCCGGAUCUGCGGUGGGUACGGGCAGACUAGAGUGAUGUAGGGGAGACUGGAAUUCCUGGUGUAGCGGUGAAAUGCGCAGAUAUCAGGGGGAACACCGAUGGCGAAGGCAGGUCUCUGGGCAUUAACGUGACGCUGAGGAGACGAAAGCAUGGGGAGCGAACAGG